rnacentral:lncRNA from 1 species
AAAGGAGAGAGGAGAGAGGCUAAAGUAGAGAGGAGAGAGGCUAAAGUAGAGAGGAGAGAUGCUAAAGUAGAGAGGAGAAAGGCUAAAGUAGAGAGGAGAGAUGCUAAAGUAGAGAGGAGAGAGGCUAAAGUAGAGAGGAGAGAGGCUAAAGUAGAGAGGAGAGAGGAGAGAGGCUAAAGUAGAGAGGAGAGAGGAGAGAGGCUAAAGUAGAGAGGAGAGAGGAGAGAGGCUAAAGUAGAGAGGAGAGAGGAAAGAGGCUAAAGUAGAGAGGAGAGAGGCUAAAGGAGAGAGGAGAGAGGAGAGAGGAGAGAGGCUAAAGGAGAGAGGAGAGAGUGGAGAGGCUAAAGGAGAGAGGAGAGAGGAGAGAGGGUAAAGGAGAGAGGAGAGUGGCUAACGGAGAGAGGAGAGAGCAGAGAGGCUAAAGGAGAGAGGAGAGAGAGCAGAGAGGCUAAAGGAGA